CUACAGCCACCUGCAGCCAGGCUGGCUGAGUCUGGCUCACAGGGAUGAGGAUAAACUUUGUGGAGUUUCUUUGUAUGGUUAAAUCACGAGACAGGGGAGUGUUUCUUCAGAGAUGCUAAUGCCUUCAUCUAGUGAAGCUGUGAGGUGUGAACACUUUUUGUUGUGAGAAGGAAUCAACUCCAGGCUUAAACAGAACAUCCAAGGUCUCCUCCCAUGGCAGUGAUCAGCCUGGUAACACAGCCAAGGUGCAACUCUAAGGAUGGACUCAUCAUCUCCUGGGCUGUCUGAGACAUGCUUGUUCUGAAGCCUAUCAACAUAUUUAAGUACUGUAA
rnacentral:lncRNA from 1 species